CUUGGUUCAGGAUUAACGCUGGCGGCGUGCCUAAUACAUGCAAGUCGAAUGGUAGUAGCAAUACAAACCAUGGCGAACGGGUGAGUAACACGUAGGUAACCUGUCUUUAAGACGAGGAUAACCAUUGGAAACGAUGGAUAAUACUGGAUAGGACAUCAUAAAGGGCAUCCUUAGAUGUUUAAAGAUUAUUAUGUCACUUAGAGAGGGGCCUGCGGCGCAUUAGCUAGUUGGUGAGGUAAGAGCCCACCAAGGCGAUGAUGCGUAGCCGGACUGAGAGGUUGAACGGCCACAAUGGAACUGAGAACGGUCCAUACUCCUACGGGAGGCAGCAGUAGGGAAUUUUCGGCAAUGGGCGCAAGCCUGAACCCGAGCAACGCCGCGUGAACGAAGAAGUUAUUCGUAAUGUAAAGUUCUUUUAUCUGGGAAGAAAAAACAAAUUGACGGUACCAGAUGAAUAAGCUCCGGCUAACUACGUGCCAGCCGCAGC
rnacentral:rRNA from 1 species